rnacentral:lncRNA from 1 species
AGUGCUCACUCCAGGCCACAGACUCCGACCGGAACUGACAGCGCGGCCUCCAGGAUUGAAGCCAUCCCUGGCUUGAAGCCUAAGGAGAUUUGCUAGUUUGAGUCCUGGGAGAUGAGAUGGGGAAGAUGGGCCCAAGCUGCAACAUGAAGGUCCAUGAUGAACAGUUGGCAUCUCCUACAGUGCCUGCCACUUGCUGCACAUCAUUGAGCAAGAGGGACACCAUGGAUAAUGGAAAGAUCUACGGCAAGGCUGGCUGUCUGCCCUGUCUAAGGAGGACGUACUGGACCAUCCUGCUCUGCACAUCCAGAUGUGUCCAUGAAUACAUCCAUAAAACGAUGGCCUGUGGAAUCCUAUAGGAAAAUGAUCCAGAGCCUGGGCGGUCAGAAGGAACAAACACUUGAUUUACAAAAUAAAUCUUCUAUGUUUAUGUUUUAAAGACACACAGAGGAAAAACAUUUUUAAAUUCAUGAUUUCCCCCCCCAGAUUUUAACUAUUGUAAUCUCUUUCUUUCCUGAGCCUUAGGCAUCUUCAUUAUAAACCAAAAGAUAUAACUUGAGAUUUUCCCAGGGUUUAUAUACUCGUUAGAGUUGGAAACAUGAAAAUGGCAAUUUGGGAUGUCUCUUUGGAGUCAAAAACCUUAUAAAAAUAUAAUGUACUUUC